rnacentral:rRNA from 1 species
GACGAACGCUGGCGGCGUGCUUAACACAUGCAAGUCGAGCGGAAAGGCCUGCUUUCCCUUGUGGAUUGCGGGUACUCGCGUGGCGAACGGGUGAGUAACACGUGAGUGAUCUGCCCCCAACUUGGGUAUAAGCCUGGGAAACUGGGUCUAAUUCCCGAUAGGACUGCAGGGUGGUGCCUGUGGUGGAAAACGAUUUUCUAGUGGUUGGGGAUGAGCUCGCGGCCUAUCAGCUUGUUGGUGGGGUAAUGGCCUACCAAGGCGGCGACGGGUAGCCGGCCUGAGAGGGUGGACGGCCACAUUGGGACUGAGAUACGGCCCAGACUCCUACGGGAGGCAGCAGUGGGGAAGAUGGCACAAGGGGCGGAAGCCUGAUGCAGCGACGCCGCGUGGGGGAUGACGGGCUUCGGGUUGUAAACUACUUUCGACAGCGAGGAAGCCACCUGGUUGGAAGGGUGGUGACGGUAGUGGUAGAAGAAGCACCGGCUAACUACGUG